UUAAUGUUCAAUAGCUGAUGGUUUCAUUUUGGUCUGUAAUUGCAGACAUGCAGCUUUUCCCGCCGUACAAAAGUUAAUCUUUAAUUAUGUAACAUGCAGGAUUCCUUAAUUGUUGUUUUGGCAUAAGCUAUGGAAAUCCUGGGUUUGUACAGCUCCCCCAUCGCAGCGCUUGACGGUGUUGUAUUUGUUCACUUACACUGUUGCCUUUCAACUUCGUACCGCCCUUUGUGUAAUAUGCUUAAUAUUGAAGAGCGUGUUACUUCAACUUGUCAUGUCCAUGAGUUCAAGAAUCUCCAAUGGACAAAAUUACGUUUUUGAUGUGACUUAUUCUUCUGACAUUGUUUAUACAUCUAAUUUACUCGACAUUAAAACAAAGAAAUUGCAAAGAAAAUAACUUAAAACUCGACUUACAAGUUAGAACAAGACUGUAGUCAGUACAUUGGGAUAUGAAUAAUUAGUAUAAUUACAUAGGUGAUUAUUGAAAAUUCUCCAUGCACGCUGAUUGGUUGCCGUUGAGGUGAUUAUAACGCGAUAAUCACCUAAGCGAUUUUCGAAAUGGCGACCGAAGCCGUUUUGUCAAUUAAAUGAUGAAGAAAUGUGUAUUUUUUCUUCUUCCAAAUAAUCACCUAUGAAAUUAUACUAAAACAAUUAUUCACCUCAGGCUCGGUGAUUAUCGUGAAUAAAAACCUCGACUUCGUCUCGGUUUUUAUUCACGAUGAUCACCUCGCCUUCGGCGAAUAAUUGUUAAUUAUUGCACUGUUAAUUUGUGCGAUUGCAAUUUUGCGCUAAAUGGAGUAUUUAAUAGACUUUCUUCAUAUAAAACUACCGUUAUUCGAUAUUGGCCUGAUUUAUACUAGAGACGCAUUAUCCGUUUGACGGAUGAUCUGUCUGUUUGCCGCGUUUGUACUCAAACUGUCUUUAUUUGCUCAAGUUCAUCCAGACAGAUCGUCCGUCUCUAGUAUAAAUCAGGCCAUUCUUUUAUGUUCAUUAUAAUUUGGCCCUUAUAACUGUGGUUUUGAGUACCAGUUUCUAUGAAAUUGUAAUAGAGGUCAUUUCAUUGAACAUAAGAUGUCAAAUUGGCAGACUAUUCAUAUGAGGGAAGCCUAUUGCCAAUGUUUUAAGGUUGUCCACCUCGACAAUAUAAGUGUGAUUCUCUAAUGUUUGCUAUGGUGAACACUAGAAACCUUAUAUUAUAAUUUUCAAUAGCCAAUUUUCUGGACUGCUCUGAUUUGACUUGUAUUUUGAAUUUUAUGUCCAUUUCUUUGGGAUUUUUAUUUGUUUUAUGUAAUGUGGUUGUUGAGUGGUCUUUUCUCCUGCGCGAAAUUCUAGGUUUUGUGGUUGAGUGCCUGGUCUUUUCUCCUGCGCGAAAUUCUAGGUUUUGUGGUUGAGUGCCUGGUCUUUUCUCCUGCGCGAAAUUCUAGGUUUUGUGGUUGAGUGGUCUUUUCUCCUGCGCGAAAUUCUAGGUUUUCUGAUCUAUAUCUAUAUCUAAAUUACAUUCAUAUUUUUCAGGCGUUUUAUUGAUGUAACGGAGGAAAUGGUACAGAAGUUCGAGGAGGAAGACGAUUUUCUUGUUGACCUAACAUAUGAUAUUCAGACUGGUGUGUGCGAGAUUAAGUUGACUAAAGGUACAACGGUACCUGAAAUAAUAACCAGUAAAAAGGAAGAGGAUUCCGAAAUCAAGAAGACUAGUAAUCUGCCAGCUCCACGAUCCUAAAGUAUAAAUUGGUGUUUGUUGAUCGCAAAGUGCAUAGUUUACAGAAAAUAAAUUUCUGUAGCUUUUGUUGGUCCUAGAAAAUAAUCGGCCAUUUUUAUUGGUCCAAAAAUAAAUUUUUAAAGAUGCGUUAUGCAUGCAGAACGAACAGCUGUAUAGUCUGGAGCCUAAUAGUCUAUCUGAGUGAAUUUCGUGCUUUCGUCAUCAACCUAUUUACAACGAUAUAGGGUGACUUUUCAAAAAAUACUCUAUAAUUUAGGAUAUAACAAGUUCUACAUGCCAAGUAACACGGAUUUUGGGCUCCUAAAGUGUUGAGUUUAAAUUAUAUACAAGUGCAAUAUUGCAUUAUUUGUAUCAAGAACAUUAACAAUGGCAACAAUAAACAUGAACCUUAUAUGUAUGUAUUUGAUAAGUACGAUAGCUAGGGCAUUCACGUCCGAUCUACAUGCGAUUAACAACCACUCGCCUUCGGCUCAUGUUUGUAAAUCACAUACAGAUCGCUUUAAUAAUUCAAUCAAGUGUGUACCUGGCUUUUCUCCAUGCUGAAUUAAUGAUACGAUAAAGUUAUUAUUCCUAGAGGGUGUUUAUAUGAAUCCUACACAAAGCGCUGGCACUUAUACGCGAUAUUCCGCAUAUACUAAGGGGAGGGCCAGCUUGAGAUCUUGCCUGAGGAAAUUUACCAUAUAAACGCAACAGAGUCAGAGAGGGCUUGUCCUAUACCAGUGGGGGCUGAGUAAAAAGCUGGCCAUAUACGUGCCAAACUUGGCUUCUCUAAGUCUAUUUCGAUUCAGAUUUAUAGCUCUAGAACAAUAUUCAAUUGUUGGUUAUUAUUCGAAAAUUUGCUCGCUAAAAUGAUUAUGGACUUCGUAAGAAAAUAAAUUUGUUGAAUUUUCUCAUGUAAGCACCAGGUGAAAACCAGUCCUGGUUGGGCUGGCCCUUUAUGUAGAACUCGUGUAAACAUCCCGAUAGUCUCUGGUAGGAUUUCGUGUUAUAACAUGUUUCGCGCACAAUAGGUAAGGGAUAUGGUUGUGAUUUGGGUUAAGAUCAAAGAGAAAUAUAUUCGUGCGCGAAACAUGAGGUCAGUAUAGCCUAAGUUGUAAAAAUAGUUGUGUUAAAUUUUGAAACUUAAUUUAUUAAGUAUGGACAUGUGUAUGGAAAUAAGUAAGUAUGGAAAGUAUGGAAAGUGUAAAAUACAUAACAAUCC